UACGUAGGUGGCAAGCGUUAUCCGGAAUUAUUGGGCGUAAAGCGCGCGCAGGUGGUUUCUUAAGUCUGAUGUGAAAGCCCACGGCUCGACCGUGGAGGGUCAUUGGAAACUGGGAGACUUGAGUGCAGAAGAGGAAAGUGGAAUUCCAUGUGUAAGCGGGUGAAAUGCGUAGAGAUAUGGAGGAACACCAGUGGCGAAGGCGACUUUCUGGUCUGUAACUGACACUGAGGCGCGAAAGCGUGGGGAGCAAACAGGA
rnacentral:rRNA from 1 species